UACGAAGGGGGCUAGCGUUGCUCGGAAUCACUGGGCGUAAAGGGUGCGUAGGCGGGUCUUUAAGUCAGGGGUGAAAUCCUGGAGCUCAACUCCAGAACUGCCUUUGAUACUGAAGAUCUUGAGUGCGGGAGAGGUGAGUGGAACUGCGAGUGUAGAGGUGAAAUUCGUAGAUAUUCGCAAGAACACCAGUGGCGAAGGCGGCUCACUGGCCCGAUACUGACGCUGAGGCACGAAAGCGUGGGGAGCAAACAGG
rnacentral:rRNA from 1 species